rnacentral:lncRNA from 1 species
CUACCUGGGCACACCCUCUCAGUGGGGAGGGUAAAUAAAUGGCAUUUCUGUGUGUAUUUUCAGCUCUCAUUCCUCACAUUCAGACUCCACCCAUUGUACCAAUCAUCCCCAAAACUAUCAGCAGGUCUCCUGGCACACAUAUAAAACCGGGACAGGUCAGGACAGCUCUCACAUAGUGGGCUAUACAUCACCUGGUGCUUAAUUUUAUUGAAGCUGAGGAGCUCUAACAGGUGUCAGAAGCCACGAUGUCGGGUAAAAGCCUCCAGGGACUGAAGGAACAGGCUGAAGGUGCAGCAAAAGAUGCUGCAAACACGUUGGGACAGGCUACUCAGGAUGCAGUCAACCAAAUUACAGAUGCAAGCCAGAAAGCUAUUGACAAGGCUUCCAAGACGGCGCAAGAUGGGGUAGAGAAAGCAACCGGACAAGCUGCAGAAGCAUUGUCUGGCCUUGGGAAAAAAUGUGGAUUUAAGAAAUGAUGCUAAUUUAAGCAAGCAGUAUUGCAUAUAAAAAAAUAUCUCUUUGGUCUGCAAUUCCCUACUGCUUUGUGUGGAAAAAAAAAGCUAUUUAAGAUCCGGAUAAUUUCUCUGUCUCCAAAUACAAAAUUUUAAGGCAGAAGACACCCCUCCCUCAUCCUUCAUAUAGGAAAAAUACACCUUUUAGCACAUCUUGUAACAUCUGUUCACAAUCUUCAACAUGGCUCAU